rnacentral:rRNA from 1 species
CCUACGGGAGGCAGCAGUGGGGAAUAUUGGUCAAUGGCCGUAAGGCUGAACCAGCCACGUCGCGUGAAGGAAGAAGGAUCUCUGGUUUGUAAACUUCUUUUAUAGGGGAAUAAAGGUAUCCACGUGUGGAUAUUUGCAUGUACCCUAUGAAUAAGCAUCGGCUAACUCCGUGCCAGCAGCCGCGGUAAUACGGAGGAUGCGAGCGUUAUCCGGAUUUAUUGGGUUUAAAGGGUGCGUAGGUUGUUUUUUAAGUCAGCGGUGAAAGUUUGGGGCUCAACCAUAAAAUUGCCGUUGAAACUGGAAGACGUGAGUGUGUUUGAGGUAGGCGGAAUGCGUGGUGUAGCGGUGAAAUGCAUAGAUAGCACGCAGAACCCCGAUUGCGAAGGCAGCUUACUAAGCCAUAACUGACACUGAAGCACGAAAGCGUGGGGAUCAAACAGGAUUAGAUACCCGUGUGGUC